rnacentral:rRNA from 1 species
UACGAAGGGUGCAAGCGUUACUCGGAAUUACUGGGCGUAAAGCGUGCGUAGGUGGUUUGUUAAGUCUGAUGUGAAAGCCCUGGGCUCAACCUGGGAAUUGCAUUGGAUACUGGCAGGCUAGAGUGCGGUAGAGGAUGGCGGAAUUCCCGGUGUAGCAGUGAAAUGCGCAGAUAUCAGGAGGAACACCGGUGGCGAAGGCGGAUCUCUGGGCCGAUACUGACGCUGAGGCACGAAGGCCAGGGGAGCAAACGGG